GGAUUGAGCAUAAUAGGAAUUUUUGUUCUAACAAUAUAUAUAUAUAUAUAUAUAUAUAUAUAUAUAGAGAGUUGAGCUAGAAUACUAUCGAUAGUAAACGAGCCGUUUUACUAUAGAUUUGUUUUCGAUGAGAGAGCUUCCAAAUUGACGAUCGGCUCCGUUAAAUAUGAUCUAAACUAUUUAAACUACCUAGAAAUCAAAUUUCACGCACUUUAGAUAUUGUUCUUUUAUCUAUCAAGUGAACAGAAAAUGAAUGGCUGAAAAUAAAUAUUCUUUAAAAAAUGAUGAUAGGAGUCUGGUAAUCAAGAUCAAGAGUAUAGAUCUUGUUUUAAAUAGUUUAAAGAAUUUUCUAACAAAAAUUUAAUUGAUUUGGAUAUCUUUAC
rnacentral:lncRNA from 1 species